rnacentral:rRNA from 1 species
UACGGGGGGGGGCAAGCGUUGUUCGGAAUUACUGGGCGUAAAGGGCUCGUAGGCGGCCAACUAAGUCAGACGUGAAAUCCCUCGGCUUAACCGGGGAACUGCGUCUGAUACUGGAUGGCUUGAGUUUGGGAGAGGGAUGCGGAAUUCCAGGUGUAGCGGUGAAAUGCGUAGAUAUCUGGAGGAACACCGGUGGCGAAAGCGGCUCUCUGGUCCAAAACUGACGCUGAGGGGCGAAAGCGUGGGGAGCAAACAGG